UUGUGUGUUACACUGUUCAUACUCGGCUUAUCUCUACAUAAAUCGUGCCCAUGUGAUUUGCCACUUGGUGUAUUCAUCAAUACUCGACAGCGUGUGUUUUUCCUGCAUUACUAUGGCUCUCAAAUUCAGUCUAGCAGUUGCGCAAAGGACAUGAUGCAACAGCCUUAUGAUUAAUUCAGACAAUCUGGAGGCGAUUGGAUACCAUGAAGGAUGUUGGACGGUCGGCGGAUGCAGCGGUGGCAACUUUUGAUGAUUGUUUUCAUUUUUCUUGUGAUUUCCCUUGUUACUAGAUUCGAAGAUUGUAAUAGAGAAGCAAAUAAAAUUGCUCACAAGCUCACUAGGUGAGCUAGAUUUUCUUUAGCUUUUGAUUGGUUUGAGGAGCCCUUACCUGAAAUGGCACCGAUCCUCAUAAACGAUGUGUUGCUUAUUUCCAAUUAAUAAAGUUUUUGGGAUUUUGUUUACGCACGGGCCUUCUACUAGUAACCCUAGCAUCCUAGCCCUCCUGGGUAAUGUACAUUUUGUGAUGUUUAAAUUGAUAACAUUAGAGAUGGAAUGAAAAUAAAUGAUACUAAUAGGUUAAAGAACCUGAAACAAAAAAUAUUCUUUUGUUAGUUUUGUUGAGACAAAACAAAAGUAAUUUUAUCAUUACAAAUGAUGUACCGCCAUUUCAUUUGCGGAGGUUCUGGUAGAGAUAUCCUUAUAUAAUUUGCUAUAUUAAUGCAAUUAAUUUGCAAAUUAAUGAUGUUUAAUUUGGCAUAGAGUUAUGAGUAUUAAUUUGUUACCCCGCAAAAAACCGGUAUUAUUUUUUUCUCAAAUAAAAGUAGGAGCAUUUACGCCAUGUCCAUUAUAAAAGGCUCGCCAUUUCAUCUCUUCUCCCUCAAAAGUCACAACUCACCAUUCCGCCAACAAGAAGACUACAAAUUCCUCUAUCAGUAUCAACACAUCAUCUAGCUAAAGAUGAGGGCCACCCUAACGCUGCUGCUACCUCUCACAUUCCUCCUCCUCGUGCUAGCACCAGCUAAGGCGAGGGAUGAUUGUUCAAGCCACAUCGUCGGGUGCAAGGACAAGCCGGAGCCGCCUUGUCCGUGCGACCGCGCGGAGUGUAGCUUCGACAGCCGUGUAGCGUUCGCUCAGCUUGGGUGCCCGAAAGAUGCGACCAGCUGCACUUGGACAGGACAGUGCAUGAAUCAGGGGUGCAACUUCACCUACUGCGUAUAUAGAUAAGAUAGGCGGGCAUGUCGACCUGAUAGAAUAAUAAAGAUGAUAUCAUGGAUGGCAAUGCAGUAUGUAGUUCUGUUCGGUGCAAACUGAUGUACCUGAAUGGUGAAUUAUUUACAUGCCUACCAUGGAUAUGUCUCGUUUAUCAUAUUAUCCAGAAAUAAAAAAAUGUUCACUUUAUAUAUAUAAUCAUUAACUCUUCACCUAUUAUGCCAAGGAUAUCACCUAUUUUUGCAAGGAAGGAUGUAAA